CCUCCUCGCCGGAAGACCAAGGGUUCCUGUCCAACGUUAAUCGGGGCAGGGUAAGUCGACCCCUAAGGCGAGGCCGAAAGGCGUAGUCGAUGGGAAACGGGUUAAUAUUCCCGUACUUCUUACAAUUGCGAUGGGGGGACGGAGAAGGCUAGGUGGGCCUGGCGACGGUUGUCCAGGUUCAAGUGCGUAGGCUUAAGAGUUAGGUAAAUCCGGCUCUUUUUAAGGCUGAGACACGACGUCGAGCCACUACGGUGGUGAAGUCAUUGAUGCCAUGCUUCCAGGAAAAGCCUCUAAGCUUCAGAUUGUAAGGAAUCGUACCCCAAACCGACACAGGUGGUCGGGUAGAGAAUACCAAGGCGCUUGAGAGAACUCGGGUGAAGGAACUAGGCAAAAUGGUACCGUAACUUCGGGAGAAGGUACGCUCUCGACGGUGAAGUCCCUCGCGGAUGGAGCUAUUGAGAGUCGCAGAUACCAGGUGGCUGCAACUGUUUAUUAAAAACACAGCACUGUGCAAAAUCGUAAGAUGACGUAUACGGUGUGACGCCUGCCCGGUGCCGGAAGGUUAAUUGAUGGGGUUAGACUUCGGUCGAAGCUCUUGAUCGAAGCCCCGGUAAACGGCGGCCGUAACUAUAACGGUCCUAAGGUAGCGAAAUUCCUUGUCGGGUAAGUUCCGACCUGCACGAAUGGCGUAAUGAUGGCCACGCUGUCUCCACCCGAGACUCAGUGAAAUUGAAAUCGCUGUGAAGAUGCAGUGUACCCGCGGCUAGACGGAAAGACCCCG
rnacentral:rRNA from 1 species